rnacentral:rRNA from 1 species
AGCCAAUAGAUACCCGGGUAGUCCACGCCCUAAACGAUGUCUACUAGUUGUUGGUGGAGUAAAAUCCAUGAGUAAACGCAGCUAAACGCGUGAAGUAGACCGCCUGGGGAGUACGGUCGCAAGAUUAAAACUCAAAGGAAUUGACGGGGGCCCGGCACAAGCGGUGGAUUAUGUGGAUUAAAUUCGAUGCAACGCGAAAAACCUUAACCUGGCCUUGACAUGCCACUAACGAAGCAGAGAUGCAUUAGGUGCCCGUAAGGGAAAGUGGACACAGGUGCUGCAUGGCUGUCGUCAGCUCGUGUCGUGAGAUGUUGGGUUAAGUCCCGCAACGAGCGCGACCCUUGCCAUUAAUUGUCAUCAUUUAGUUGGGCACUUUAAUGGGACUGCCGGUGACAAACCGGACGGAAGGUGGGGAUGACGUCAAGUCCUCAUAGCCCUUAUGGCCAGGGCUUCACACGUAAUACAAUGGUCGGUACAGAGAGUUGCCAACCCGCGAGGGGAGCUAAUCUCAGAAAGCCGAUCGUAGUCCGGAUUGUUCU